GAAAAGACCAGGGUCACAGGACCUGCAGAUCGAAGGGUAGGUGAAACAGGACAGAAAGUCAAUCAUGGCGGGAAAGACAGAGGGACAGCCCCGCACAGAUACGUGAAAGAGGUGCGGACGAGAUGGUGGGGGUCUUGUAAGGUCAUCGGAAUCUCAAGGGUGACCCCUGAGUGUGUACUGGGACUAGCUUGGUUGGGGGAGGGAAAAAGGAGGGAUUGGGGAAGGAGACCCUAUGGUUCGGGCGACCUCUUCACUGGGGAGAAUAGGAAGACCAGAUAAGACCUGGAGGUUGACCGGGUAAACUGCGGGGAAGAACUAGGGCUGCAGAGGGGCCAGAGAAGAGGCCGAGGCGGGAGACCAAGAGCCAGUCUUUCGGGAUGAGGAAGGACUGGCGGUGUCUUGUGCCCUCCCAGGAGCUCUAAACUGUAGAUUUAUUGCUUUAAACUUCCCGGUCUACCCUCGACGGGACCGCGCCCAGACAAGCCCCAGCGCCUAGUUUGACUUCCAGGGUGCCACCCCAUCCUCUGCGGAGGGUCGCAGGGAAACCUCCAGUUGGCGCCUCCAGUCACGCCAUUCCCAACUGGCAGCUUCUGGACAAAAGGGCGGAUGGGACUAGCUUAGGACCCUGCAGUCUUUUAGGGCCCUGUUGUGAUUUGUGAGGAGGGGGCUGGGAGGGGGCGGCUGUGUUAGGUGAUAGGUGAGCACGUGUUCCUAUGGUAGGAGUAGAAGGCAAAGAAGGAGUUUCAGCUUUGUAUCCUGUUAAAAAGGGAAAGCUACUAAUUUCUGAGUUCAGAAGCAGUUGCCCCAUGAUCUUAAAUUUUCAUCAGUGCAUUUGGGCCAUCUAACCUAAUUUCACAUGUGAGAAAGCCAUCUUGGGAAAUAAGUCUACCAGAGAAAAUUUUAAGCACAUGUUUGUUAUGUAAUUAUUCCAAAAGUUCCAAAAAGGAGUGAUUAAACACUUAACAUUUUCAGAACAAGAUACUGUGCAGUCAACAUUUAAGGUAUUUUCAACAUCAAUGGGGGUGUGUGUGUGUGUGUGUGUGAGUAUGCAAUUCAUCAACUCUUUAAGAGUUUAUGAGGAGUUGAAGAAACACUUUCCAUGGGUCAGGGUCUGAGGGUGAGCUCAGUGGUAGAGGCUUGCCUAGCAUGCAUGAGGCCCUGGGUUCCAUAUCCAGCACUAAAAAAAAAAAAAAAUUGCAUGUGGGAUAUGAUGUGUAUACAUCUAUACAUCUAUGUUUAAGAAAGAAAGAAAAAACUUUGUGCAUAAGAAAUAAACUGGGGUAUUAACAGUGAUUAAUUCUGGAUAGUAAGAAUAUGGUUGGUAUUUUUCUUCUUUUGUUCUACUUUUGCAUUUUCCAUAAUAAACAUUUUUUUUGCUUUUAUAGCAGAAAAAUAGAAUAAAAUAAUAAACUACAAGAAUAAUUAAAAUAAAAUGAAUGGGCAAAGACAGUUUGUUUAAUAGGGUUCAUAUAUUCAAAAGUAACUUAUUGAACACUUGUAUAGUGUAGGAUUGGCUAUAGGAGGAAGAUAAAACAUAAUUCUUGCUCUAAAAGAACACCAUCUAGAUGGAGACUCCAGAUGUAUACACAGAAAACAAUUGGGUGUCUGUGCCAGGCAGUGUGUAAUGUUGGUUCCAGAGUUGAUUGAUAUGGAUAUAAUCUCUACUUUCCCCACCAUAUACCUGUUUUCCAAAAGGGCAUUUGCAUUCAGUGCCAGGCCUUGUCCAUCCACACAACUUCUUCAGCACCAGCUUCCCCUGGCUGGAGGGGAGAGGAAUCUUUCCCUCAGGUUCUCUAUUCAGCCCUCAAGAUAGUGGCUACUUCUUAUAUCUGCUAUUCCUAUAUUCUAUAGAGUUCUCUUUUCUUCUUACCAGGCAAUCCCUAUUACUUUAGUCCCAUGCUUUAACCAGCACAUCUUUAUGUUAAUAUUUCUGUUUAAAAUCUGUGUGGAUUCUUUUUCCAGAUGAGACCUCAGCUGAUACCUUCAGCCUCUGUAUUUUGUGAGUGUGUGUGCAUGGGCCUUGCCUUUAACCAUCCUUUGUAUGCAGUUUUGCAGUUUUUCUCUGAGGAAUGCUGCAUCACGGACUUUCCCCAUGUAAUGCAGUUCUCACAGUUGCUAUUUUAUUUUAUUUUACUUUUUUUGUGCUGGGAUUGACCCCAGGUCCUGGUGCAAGUUAGGCCAGGGCUCUGUUAUUGAGCUAACCCCCUAGUGCAGCAACAUGAGUGUGUAGCAUGGUACAUGGCAGUACUUAUGACUGUUGGCUUUGCUGUUUCAAAUCUGAGCUCCAUUUCUUUUUUGCAUGGUAUAGUAGCAAAUUGUUUUAUUUCUUAAGCUUGAUUAAAUGGGUUGUGACAAACACUUAUCACUCAGUCUGGAACAUUGAUAGUUAAUAAAGUCUAAGCUGUUGUUAUUACUGCCACAGUUUACUUGUGUUUAUCUCUAAUAGUUGGAUUUCUUUCUUUCUUUCUUUCUUUUUUUCUGUGGGGGUGGGGAUUGAACCCAGGGGUGCUUAACCACUGAACCACAUCCCUAGUCCUUUUUAUAUUUUAGUUAGAGAUAAGGUUCCCCCUGAGGUACUAGGUGCCUUGCUAAUCUGCUGAGGCUGGCUUUGAACUCUUUUUUUUUUAAUAUAUUUUUUUUAAUAUUUAUUUUUUAGUUGUCGGCGGACACAACAUCUUUGUAUGUGGUGCUGAGGAUGGACCCCGGGCCGCACGCAUGCCAGGCGAGCGCCCUACUGCUUGAGCCACAUCCCCAGCCCUGGCUUUGAACUCUUGAUCCUCCUGCCUCAGCCUCCCAAGUUGCUGAGAUUACAGGUGUGCGCCCCUGCUCCUUGAUGGAUAUCUUUUUUUGUGUGUAUUCUGUGUAAAUAUUUUUGAACACAAAACUUUCUUCCCCCAAUAUUUAGUGUUAUUACCUUAACAUGGUGUCAGAAUCAUGGUGAAAUACUUCAAGGUUUUAUGUGGUCUCUUGACCAGGUUUCCUGACCCUCUUUCACUCCUGGCUACCCUGCCUCAACCCCUCCCCCCAUCACUCCUUCUAUCCAAUCAAGC
rnacentral:lncRNA from 1 species